CAUCACAGAAUUGUUUUUACUG
rnacentral:miRNA from 1 species